CUCCAAGAGUGAAACAAACCCCGAGUGAAGUGAUGAGGGCUGCAGUGGGGUGGGGGGCGGUGGCCCGAGAAGGUGGCCAGGGGGGUUGCGCACAGCCGCGGCCACCGAAAUCCUGUCCCCGGCCCCGGGCGCCCCCGAGGGCGCAAGGCGAAGCUGGGUGGGCUGCGGCGUGGCGGGGCGUCUGUCUGAGGGAGGGGGACACCUCAUCUCCAUCGGCUCUGGGAUGGGCAUCGCGGCCGCCGCGCUGCUGGGGCGGGGGCGGCGGGGGAGCCCGGCGGGUACCCGGGUCCUCCUCCGCCCCACCCCUCCCCCGCCCGCGGAGCCGCCGCCGCUCUGUAACACGUCCCCAGGAGACUCUCGCAGGAGCAACACGUGAUGUGUCUACUUAUCAGGGUGAGAGGGGGAGAGCCAGCUUCGGAGCGUGCGGGCGAGGACGCGGGGCGGGGGGCCGGGACGACGGGCUGGGGGCGCGCCGGGGUCGCCAGCUCCUCGCCCACCGCCCUCUCUGAGGGAGAGGAGGAGGAGGAGGAGGAGGAGGAGGGGAAGUGACUGCGGAGUUGAUGAACUUUGCACAUCCAGAAACGCCAUUUUGAUUCCUUUUCCGGAACAAGUUUGCAUCUCUCCUCUUCCUCGCCUCCCAGCCAAGUCCGCGGGUCCCCGCCCGCCCCUUUCGCCCCCGUACAAACAACGCCGCCCCGCACCAUGCCUGCGAGCCCGGCGUGCCCUCUGCUCCGCCGUUGCUGCGACUCUCUAGGCCAGUAGUGGUGGCUUUGAGGAGUGAGCACGCACACGGUUGGGCUCAGCCAGAGUCAGCCCCUCAGUAAGACGGAGAACACAGUGUCCACCUGCAGUACGGGGGGCAGCAGAGAGGGACACGUGCAGACCCA